rnacentral:tRNA from 1 species
AGAAAUAUGUCUGANAAAAGAGUUACUUUGAUAGAGUAAA